rnacentral:lncRNA from 1 species
AUGUGCUUAAAAUAAUAAGCUUACCCUUUGGUAUCCUAAUGUUUCUCUUCCUGUGAAAACAUUUUCCAAAAUGUUGACACUAUUAUUAUUUCCCCCAGGUAGAUAUAGAAAUAAUAAAAUAUGUAAACACAAAAUAUAGCAUAAUUUUUACUAAGAUGAGGCUUCAGUGAUUUACUAUCAACUGAAAUGGAGAACAAGCUUUUCUCAUUUAUUCAGCUGUUGGCACUUUCUUCUCUUUUUAACAUUUUUUGCCUCAAACUUCUUUUCCUUUUAUCUUCUGUGUUGAAUUUUUCUUGUAUUUUUUUCUAGUGUCUUCUCUUGCACAGUGCAGUUUCUCAGCUGCUAAUUCUCUUGCUAUUCCUACAACAUCUUUUUUUAAUUUUACUUGUUCUUCAUUAUACAGAGAAAUCAGGAAACAUCAGAUCAAGAUACCUGGGACAAAUUAAAUUUAUCCUCCCUUCUUCAUCUAUGAAUAUGUAUUAGGUGAUGUAGUCUUUAAUUAGGUGCUUAAAUAGCUUGUUUUUCCAUAUUUUCCAUCUUCCUUUAGUGUGUAGGAUGGCUGAUAUCUUUAAAAGUGGCCAGCCAGUAUUUUACUUCAUUACAGUAAAUGGGAUUACAUCAAGGCUUAUUUCUAGAAGAGCACUCAAGCUUCCAGAACUUGAUUUAUGUAUGUGCCUAAGCCUGACAUUCUAGAAAUCUCCCUCAGGUGCUAAAAAAAUUCAGGAGCACCAGAAAGCACCUCAGGCAAUCCUCUGCAGAGAACUGUGGUUUUCAAGGCUCCUAAGAAACUAAUGCUUUGCUUUUAUUCUGUAGGGCAUGUUACCUACAGCCACUUCAACAGACACAAGCUGACCCUGCUUCUGUUCCAAAGGAAGCAAUGCCAGGAGGCUGCACAAGAAACUGUGCCACCAAGCCUGAUCAGCCCUGCUGCAAGGCAGAGAACAUCACUUUUGAGGAAAGACUGAAGAUUUUCUCUGAAACCUUGACUGAAGCUGUCAAGAUGACAUGUUCUCAUUCAGGAAGUCUGACGCUAAUUACUUUGAAUCAAAGAGCCGGAUGAGCAUAUCCUUCCAGUUUGGAAGAUAUGCAUCUGGUGGUAAGAAGGGAUUCUGCUAAUGCUCAGGUAGCUGCUACAUGGGAAAAUAUUACCACUUAUUCCUCUGUUUAGCAAAAGUUAUUACUCUUGUGUGAGUCACAAAUAAAUGGAGAAUAAAUGGAAGAGACA